rnacentral:rRNA from 1 species
AGUGAACGCUGGCGGUAGGCCUAACACAUGCAAGUCGAACGGCAGCACAGUAAGAGCUUGCUCUUACGGGUGGCGAGUGGCGGACGGGUGAGGAAUACAUCGGAAUCUACUUUUUCGUGGGGGAUAACGUAGGGAAACUUACGCUAAUACCGCAUAUGACCUACGGGUGAAAGCAGUGGAUCUUCGGACCUUGCGCGAUUGAAUGAGCCGAUGCCGGAUUAGCUAGUUGGCGGGGUAAAGGCCCACCAAGGCGACGAUCCGUAGCUGGUCUGAGAGGAUGAUCAGCCACACUGGAACUGAGACACGGUCCAGACUCCUACGGGAGGCAGCAGUGGGGAAUAUUGGACAAUGGGCGCAAGCCUGAUCCAGCCACACCGCGUGGGUGAAGAAGGCCUUCGGGUUGUAAAGCCCUUUUGUUGGGAAAGAAAAGCAGCAGGUUAAUCCCCCGCUGUUCUGACGGUACCCAAAGAAUAAGCACCGGCUAACUUCGUG